CAAGAGGUUGUCCAAGAUAAACAAGAAAAUCUGUCUCAAUUCUUAGAAUGCCUUACAAAGGCUUUACUGCAAUAUACUAAUCUGGACCCUGAAAGCCUAGAAGCCUCUUAGGUGGACCUCCAAGCUUGGGAUGUCCAGAACCCCUCUGUUGCUAAACAUCAUUCUCCCGUUGUCAUCCAGUUACUGGACUCUACCAGUUCUUGUUACAGGAUUACCAGUUGCUGUCCACAGAAGAGCCUGGUACACACAUCCACAGAAUGGGCCCCGAUGGUGAAAAAGCCAGCUCUUCCCCCC